rnacentral:rRNA from 1 species
CAGUCGCGGUAAUACGGAGGGUGCAAGCGUUAAUCGGAAUUACUGGGCGUAAAGCGCACGCAGGCGGUCUGACAAGUCAGAUGUGAAAUCCCCGGGCUUAACCUGGGAACUGCAUUUGAAACUGUCAGGCUGGAGUCUUGUAGAGGGGGGUGGAAUUCCAGGUGUAGCGGUGAAAUGCGUAGAGAUCUGGAGGAAUACCGGUGGCGAAGGCGGCCCCCUGGACAAAGACUGACGCUCAGGUGCGAAAGCGUGGGGAGCAAACAGGAUUAGAUACCCCUGUAGUCCCUGUCUCUUAUACACA